rnacentral:rRNA from 1 species
UGUACACACCGCCCGUCACACCACGAGAGUUUGUAACACCCGAAGUCGGCGAGGUAACCGUAAGGAGCCAGCCGCCUAAGGUGGGAUAGAUGAUUGGGGUGAAGUCGUAACAAGGUAGCCGUAUCGGAAGGUGCGGCUGGAGCACCCCCUU